rnacentral:rRNA from 1 species
GACGAACGCUGGCGGCGUGCCUAAUACAUGCAAGUUGAGCGCUGAAGGUUGGUACUUGUACCAACUGGAUGAGCAGCGAACGGGUGAGUAACGCGUGGGGAAUCUUCCUUUGAGCGGGGGACAACAUUUGGAAACGAAUGCUAAUACCGCAUAAAAACUUUAAACACAAGUUUUAAGUUUGAAAGAUGCAAUUGCAUCACUCAAAGAUGAUCCCGCGUUGUAUUAGCUAGUUGGUGAGGUAAAGGCUCACCAAGGCGAUGAUACAUAGCCGACCUGAGAGGGUGAUCGGCCAAAUUGGGACUGAGACACGGCCCAAAAUCCUACGGGAGGCAGCAGUAGGGAAUCUUCGGCAAAGGACGAAAGGCCGACCGAGCAACGCCGCGGGAGGGAAGAAGGUAGUCGGGUCGGAAAACUCUGUUGGUAGAGAAGAACGUUGGUGAGAGUGGAAAGCUCAUCAAGUGACGGUAACUACAGAGAAAGGGACGGCUAACUACGUG